AUACGGAGGGUGCAAGCGUUACUCGGAAUCACUGGGCGUAAAGCGCGCGCAGGCGGCUAUUUAAGUUGGAUGUGAAAGCCUAUGGCUCAACCAUAGAACUGCAUCCAAAACUAUUUAGCUAGAGUGUGGGAGAGGAAGAUGGAAUUAGUUGUGUAGGGGUAAAAUCCGUAGAGAUAACUAGGAAUACCAAAAGCGAAGGCAAUCUUCUGGAACACCACUGACGCUGAGGCGCGAAAGCGUGGGGAGCAAACAGGAUUAGAACCCCAGUAGUCC
rnacentral:rRNA from 1 species